rnacentral:rRNA from 1 species
UGGGGAAUAUUGGACAAUGGGCGCAAGCCUGAUCCAGCCAUACCGCGUGGGUGAAGAAGGCCUUCGGGUUGUAAAGCCCUUUUGUUGGGAAAGAAAUCCAGCUGGUUAAUACCCGGUUGGGAUGACGGUACCCAAAGAAUAAGCACCGGCUAACUUCGUGCCAGCAGCCGCGGUAAUACGAAGGGUGCAAGCGUUACUCGGAAUUAGUGGGCGUAAAGCGUGCGUAGGUGGUCGUUUAAGUCCGUUGUGAAAGCCCUGGGCUCAACCUGGGAACUGCAGUGGAUACUGGGCGACUAGAAUGUGGUAGACGGUAGCGGAAUUCCUGGUGUAGCAGUGAAAUGCGUAGAGAUCAGGAGGAACAUCCAUGGCGAAGGCAGCUACCUGGACCAACAUUGACACUGAGGCACGAAAGCGUGGGGAGCAAACA